CCUAUCUAUCUAUAACACUAAGCUAACAUAAUUCAGAACGAUUCCAUAAACUCAAAACCAGACAAAUGCAAAGUCAACGGGACAUUUGUGAGAGAGUAAGAAAAUGAAUGAGUCCUGACCUUUGAUGUGUUCAUGAUGAGCAGGAGCAUCAGAAGUCUUAGCGUCAUCAUCUUCAUCAUCAUCCCUACGUGAUUUAACAGUGACAAUAGCUUCCCUAGUGCCACCAACGUUCCCAGGAGGAGAAGGACCAUCACGAUCAUCAGGGUAUCUAACCACAACAACAGGACAAACACAAUGAUGAACACAGUAAUCACUAACAGAGCUUAUGAGGGAACCCAGCUUCUUUCAACGGCUUCGCUAGAUCCGCUACUUUCGAAAUCUAAUGUGAAAGCGUCGAAAUCUUCCUGACUAGGUUUCGCCUGAGCUUCGGGAUCGACGGCGGAAGGAGGAGGAGGAGGAGUUUGGAGAGGGAGAGGUCUAGCCAUUGUCACCUCAAGCUCCCUUCCUACCAUGCGUCUUCCAUUCAGUACUCUAACGCCUUGUCAUUGCCUUCACCACCUCUCAGAACAAUGAAAGCAAAUCCUAAGGGAACACGGGUUUUACACUCUUAUGGGAACAAAAAACCCUUGUGACCUCUCCACAAGAACUGAAAACGUUGGUUAAUGCAUUCUUGAUAUCAUCCCUAGGUUGCAAAUGUUGAAAUCCCUUCACGAAAAUGAUGAGAAGAAGAGUGAAAAACAUGGCCAAGUCUUUUCCAACUUUUAAAGUUACGUAGACGCAUUUUAUUUUUUGUAGAAGAGUUACAUAGAUGCAUUGACAAGAUUUAUAGCUUAGUGAAGCUAGCAGAACUGUAUUAUAUAGAAGCCAUCAAAUGGAAUCAAUGGAUAUUAAAGGCUCAGCUAAAGUCUUCUCAAGAUACAAAGGCUGGAUUGUGGAGAAUCACUAUCCAUGAAGAUGGAGGCAUAUCAAAGGCACUUCACAAGUUUGGACCGAGCAAAAUGAAA